CUAGAAACAAGGAAAGUCCCAGUUCGACAAGGAAAGCACCGCCGCCGACCUCGCCUGCCCUGCCCAUCCGAUCCGGAUCCGGCCCGAACCCACGCCCUCCACGCUCCACUUUCCUUCUUUACUUCCGCCUCCACGCCACGCCUGCUCGCCGAAGCCAAGGACGAGGCUCCGGUUGGCGCCACCGCCUCUGCCCCGGCUAUAAAGGCGCGCCCUUUGGCCGCCCCGCUCCUCCUCCUCUCUUCGCCCGGGCCGCGCCUUCGCCUCCUCGCCGCGCUCUGGCCGGUCUGCGCCUCCUCCACUCUUCGUCCGGGCCGCGCCUUCGCCUCCUCGCCGCGCUCUCGCCGGUCCGCUGCUCCUCCACUCUUCGUCCGGGCCGUGCCUUUCUCCUCCUCGCCGCGCUCUGCCCGGUUUGCUCCUCCUCCUCCUCCUCUCUUCAUCCGGGCCGUGCCUCCUGCUGUCCUCCUCGGGUCGCAUUUUAUCUUGCUCGUCGUCGUUCGAUUCGUCCGUUUAGAACCGCGGCUGGAUUUGGUUUUGCUCGUCCUCGCCGUCGCCGGUUUAGAUAGAGAAUCCCGCCUGAUUUGAGUUUGCUCGUUCUCGCCGCCGUUCGGCCGUUUAGAGUUGCGUCUGAUUUGAUUUCGCUCGUGCUCGGUUCGUCGGUUCAGAAUCGCUUCCGAGUUGAUUUUGCUCGUCCCGCCGUUCGUCAGUUUAGAGUCGCUUCUGAUUUAGUUCUGCUCGUUCUCGCCGCCGUUCGUCCGUUUAGAGUCGCGUCUGAUUUCAUUUUGCUCGUGCUCGAUUCGUCAGUUUAGAAUCGCUUCUGAUUUGAUUUCCUUCGUCCUCGCCGUCGUCAGUUUAGCGUCGCUUCUGAUUUGGUUCUGCUCGUCCUCGCCGUCGUCCGUUUUUCCUCGUCCUCGCCUUCGCCCCGACGCGCCCGCGUGUUCUUGGUCCGUCUCGUCGAGGGUCUCCGUCUGGUUUGCGGUUGAGAAAUUUCUGCGUGCGCUUCUUCUGUUAUCUGAAAGACACUUUGGAUGUUGCGUUUCGUGUUCGUGUCAGCGCGAGUGUUACAGGAACGGUCAGGUCUUGGUUUUGAAAUUGGGUUACAGCCGGAGAUGGGGAGGCAGAGAGCAAUUGUCAAUUUGUCGUGCUAGUUCGUCUGUCGUUUUCAGAUCUCAAACGGCUAGCUUGUUUGUGUUCGUGUUCGUCCCUCAGAGACGUGCCCUUUGAUACUCUGCUUCCUCUGUCGAUUCUGACUGAUUGUGCUGGCUAGCUUGUUUCACCUUGGGCAGGCGUGUGUGCUCUCAUCCCAGAUGCAGGGGUGAUUCUUUACAGUUCUUCUUAGGGGUGUUACUGCUUCUGUUCUUUUCAAUUGGUUAUUACUUCCUAUCAAUGCUUUGCUUCUGUUCCCAUAUAUUGUUAGGCCGUGGGUGCCAUUUCUUGCAGGCAGGCAGAGCAGAAAACUUUUACAGGAGUGCAAACCAUGUGGCCUGCUGCCUGACUAAUUGAACACCUGCUGCUGCUACUGUUGGACAAGGUUUCCUUCUGUUAUUCCUAGUGUUGCUAUUUCCAUUUUCAUACGAGUACUAGAUGAGGUGCUGCUAGUUAGUCCCCCCCCCCCCCCCCCCCCCUACACUUCGUUCUAGAUUGCAUAGCAUAACUCCAGAAUUUUUCCAUUGCACACCUGGGCAUAUAAUUCUGUUGCGAGCAUAACUUCAGAAUUUGUUUAUUUAUCUGUGAAAGCACGUACAUCACAUGUUUUUUAUCAAUGCUGCUCACUUUUAUCACGUCCCUAUUAUCGAGAAUGCUGACUUCUAUAUUUGUCGCUAUGUAAGCCAUGCACUUGGGAAGCCUGGGCAUGAUUAGGAUUUGGAUUGCAUAUAGAUUUAAUGCUCUGUUUGUUUAUAACCUGGUUGUGAUCUAACAUAGUGUAAAUCUGCUAAUUUUUUAGUUUAAUUUAUGUUCAACGCAAGAAACAUUUAUUUAGCCAAAUUUUGCUACUUCUGAGAACUUUGUUUUUAGAUGUGUUGUAUCCAUAACUGCCUAUUCUGAUAUUUGCAUGGAUCUUUCUAUAUAAGGCCAUUGGCAUGUCAUGUUGUGACCUAUAUACCUCUGUGGUUGGUAGUAUCUUUGGCCUUUGAUUCUGCUCGUCCUUGCUGUCGUCAGUUUGGAUAGAAUCGCUUUGGAUUUGAUUUUGCUCGUCCUCGCCAUCGUUAGUUUAGAGUCACGUCUGAUUUGAUUUUGAUCUCCUCCUCGUCCGUUUAGAAUCUCGUCUGAUUAGAUUUUUAUCGUCCUCGCUGUCGCCCUGAUGCGCUCGCAUGUUCUUGGGUUGUCUUGUCGAGGGUAUCCGUCUGGUUUGCGAACUAAAAUUUCUCUGCAUCCGUUUCUGUUAUCUGAGAGUUCCAGAUCCUGUGUUCUGUGUUCGCGUCGGCGUGACGGUUGUAAGAACGAUCGGGUCUAGUUUCGAAAUUGCAUUGCAGACGGAGACGGGGACCAAUGUCAGUUUGUCGUGCUAGUUCAGAUCGGAUCGGUUCACUUUCUGGAACUUCUUUAUAGCUUUCUGAGUUUAUACUUCGUUCUUGCAUGCAUUAGCUUUCUGUUUGUACCCCUAUCUGACUACUGUGUGUGUGAUGUGCCCCUCUCUAUGUAUGUUUCUUUGUCUGUUUCAUGUGUGCAAAGCGCUCCAUUGUCUGUGUGUGACUGUGUGUUUGACUGCUUAGAUGGGGUGAUUCUGAUUGUGUUACUGCUUAUAUGGUCUGUCCAAUUGGUUUCUUCUUCAUGCUUUGCUUGUGUUCCAAUGUCGUCUCCCCAUAUAUGGGUGUGUGUUAAGGGAUGCAAACCAUGUAGGCCGUUUCGAGCAGGCAUGGAUCCAGAGACGUGCACUGGUUAGGCUUCUUUCCUGCUGAUAGAUGAUGAUAGGCUGACCAAGAAAUUUUGACUCUUGUAACACUCACUUGCUUGGCUUCCACUCCUUUGCGUAGCCGAUUUGGCAUGCAAUGCAUCCCAUGCCUAUCUUAUUUAUCUCACCCACUCAUCACAGCACCCUUUCCCUGUUUUUGUUCCUUAUUUUCCUUGUCAUAAUAAUCAUGUUUACCGUGGUGUUUGACAAUGCAUUUUUUGUGAUAUCUGUGUUUCUUAUGUCUUAUGUGGAUAUCAUAUACUUUUUUUGUAUUACUGCUGUCUAGUCACUGGAAUAAUGCUUUUCUAAGUAUUUCAGGUAGGUGCUUUUCUAAGUAUUGUCACAUUUGCUCUUCCUUGUGUUGCUAAGGACACUGAUGGGUUGGGUUUGCUUACAGUGCAGGACAGAUAAUUCUAUAAAGAAUCAUUGGAAUAUUUCUCUGGCAAUUCCAAGACUUCAUGAUGACUUCAAGAAUAAACAGAAGACGGCUGCUUCUGAGGCCAUCUUGAUCUGAACAGCUCAUCAUUCUAAUUUUAGCUCACCUCUACAGUCAUACAAACUGGCAUGCCAAGGACUGCUCAGGGUUCCUAUCUCUUUCUGUUUUACCAACUAUAAGGUAAUCAAAUUUUGAUCUUCAGCUUGCAAAUUUAUCACCUUAUGGGACGGAAAGGUUUGCCUGUACAUGAGCUCUGAUUAUCUACAUAUAUGCUUGAAUUGCUUUGGAUUUGUCGGACUACUAUUCUACAUGAUGUUCUCCAUGAUUCACUUGAUUUGUUAAUUUGAGUAUUUUCUUGGUGAGUUCUUUAGGUUCAUCUUGUGGCACAAAAUACAAUUUUGGUACAUGCAGACUCUGAAAUUUUGUGAUAAAGAAAAGGUACCUCCUAAUUUGCUCUCUGGCUCUCUUACUCUUAUCUUUGUUUGCAUAACAGUAGUGGCCUCCUAGCUUGUAGUUGGGUAAUGCAGAGAGAGGUCUGGAAUUGAAGCUAUAAUAAACUAAAAUAAUGCAGAGUUGAAGGUUCUGAACGGGAAGCUUGAACAAACAGCUUACUUUUUUUCAUGUUUUCGAUUAGUUUCAUCCUAUCUAUGUCCGUUUCUUGUGUGCAAGCACUCCAUUGUAUAUGUGUGACUGUGACUGUGUGACCGUGACUUUGCGUGUGACUGACUGUUUGUGUGUGUGACUGACUGUGUGUGUGUUUCUUUGUCUGUUUCUUGUGCAAGCGCUCCAUUUGUGUGUGUGUGUGUGUGACCAUGACUGUGCGUGUGAUUGACUGUUUGUGUGUGUGACUGACUGUGUGUCUUUCUUUGUCCGUUUCUUGUGCGCAAGCGCUCCAUUGUGUGUGUGUGUGUGCUGUGACUGUGUGCCAUUUUAUGACUGUGACUGUGUAUUUGACUGUGUGUGUGUGUGUUGACUGUGUGUCAUUGUGCAAGCGCUCCAUUACUACCUAUUGGCACCUGAUAACGCAUGGAUAUUUCUAUAUAAGGUCAUGGGCAUGUUAUUUUAUGACCUACAUACCUCUGUAGUUGGUAGUAUCAUUGCCCUUUGGACACUCUUCAAUGCAUUGCUGUAUAUUUAUGAUGUUUGUGCUCAGAAUGAUGUAUAUGUAGAAUCCAGGGGUGGAUGGAGGCUUUCAUAUUGAUUUGUUAUUAUGGUUGUUCUGAUGGUGUGCUUCUGGUGUUUGAACUGAAGCCAUGGAUCGCCCAUCAACCUGGUCUGUGUUUGUAUGUGUGGUGAGCUCACAUAUUGUGUCAGUAUCUACCUAUGCGGCUGAAUUAUUUCCGGAUAGGACAGAGUUGCAAUGUUUACAUCCAUGGCAGAAGGUUCUUUAACACUGAACUCAUCAUCAAAGGUCCUUGGGCUCAAGAGGAAGAUGACAAAAUUAUUGACCUUGUAAACAAGUAUGGACCAACAAAAAUGAUCUCAUUGCAAGGUCACUACCUGGACGUAUAGGCAAGUAAUGUCGGGAGAGGUCAGCUACUAGAACUUCCUAUUUCUGAUCCUGGGAUGUUCCGAACAUGCUCCCGAACAUGUUCAAUUUAUCUGCCCUAGGACAGCCACUGCCAUGACACAACAGGCUACUCGGCAUGCUCAGCGUGUUUACGUCAGUGGACUUCCUCCAAUCGCUAAUGAACAGACGGUUGCUCUAUUCUUCAAUCAAGUUAUGGAUGCUAUCGGGGGAAACACAUUUGGUCCAGGUGAUACAGUUGUUAAUAUGAAGCUGAUUUUUGAAUUCAUACGAAAACAUCUUAGGUGGCAUAAUCAUCUGACUCUGUGUGUGUGACUGACUAACUGUGUGUGUCUGUGGCUGUGUAUGUCUUGUGUGUGUGACUGACUGUGUGUGUUCUAUGUCUUGUGUGUGUGACUGACUGUUACUGUGCCUUGUGUGUGUGACUGUGACUGUGUGUGUUGGCUGACUCUGUGUGUGACUGUGACUCCGUGUGUUGGCUGCCUCUGUGUGUGACUGUGACUCUGUGUGUUGGCUGCCUCUGUGUGUGACUGUGACUGUGUGCGCGCGCGCGCGUGUGUGUGAAUAUUGCAUUUGCUUGAUGGUGUGUCUUGUAUGCUUUGCGUGUCUUGUAUGCUUUGCUGAAUGAUUGGUGUUUUGUUUG